rnacentral:rRNA from 1 species
UACGGGGGGUGCAAGCGUUGUUCGGAAUCAUUGGGCGUAAAGAGCGUGUAGGCGGCUAGACAAGUCAGAUGUGAAAUCCCUGGGCUUAACCCAGGAAGUGCAUUUGAAACUGUCCUGCUUGAGUAAGGGAGAGGAAAGUGGAAUUCCUGGUGUAGAGGUGAAAUUCGUAGAUAUCAGGAGGAACACCGGUGGCGAAGGCGACUUUCUGGCCCUAUACUGACGCUGAGACGCGAAAGCGUGGGUAGCAAACAGG